rnacentral:tRNA from 1 species
GAGGGUAUAGCUCAGUGGUAGAGUAUGUGCUUAGCAUGCAUAAGGUCCUGGGUUCAAUCCCCACCACCUCCA